rnacentral:rRNA from 1 species
CCUACGGGAGGCAGCAGUGGGGAAUAUUGCACAAUGGGGGAAACCCUGAUGCAGCGACGCCGCGUGAGUGAAGAAGUAUUUCGGUACGUAAAGCUCUAUCAGCAGGGAAGAAAAUGACGGUACCUGAGUAUGAAGCCCCGGCUAACUACGUGCCAGCAGCCGCGGUACUACGGAGGGGGCAAGCGUUAUCCGGAUUUACUGGGUGUAAAGGGAGCGUAGACGGCAGCGCAAGUCUGAAGUGAAAUCCCAUGGCUUAACCAUGGAACUGCAUUGGAAACUGUGCAGCUGGAGUGCAGGUGAGGUAAGCGGAAUUCCUAGUGUAGCGGUGAAAUGCGUAGAUAUUAGGAGGAACACCAGUGGCGAAGGCGGCUUACUAGACUGUAACUGACGUUGAGGCUCGAAAGCGUGGGUAGCAAACAGGAUUAGAUACCCCGGUAGUC